ACUCCUACGGGAGGCAGCAGUGGGGAAUCUUGGACAAUGGGCGCAAGCCUGAUCCAGCCAUGCCGCGUGAGUGAUGAAGGCCCUAGGGUCGUAAAGCUCUUUCGCCAGGGAUGAUAAUGACAGUACCUGGUAAAGAAACCCCGGCUAACUCCGUGCCAGCAGCCGCGGUAAUACGGAGGGGGUUAGCGUUGUUCGGAAUUACUGGGGCGUAAAGCGCGCGUAGGCGGACUGGAAAGUUGGGGGUGAAAUCCCGGGGCUCAACCCCGGAACUGCCUCCAAAACUCCCAGUCUUGAGUUCGAGAGAGGUGAGUGGAAUUCCGAGUGUAGAGGUGAAAUUCGUAGAUAUUCGGAGGAACACCAGUGGCGAAGGCGGCUCACUGGCUCGAUACUGACGCUGAGGUGCGAAAGUGUGGGGAGCAAACAGGAUUAGAUACCCUGGUAGGAAAGCG
rnacentral:rRNA from 1 species